rnacentral:rRNA from 1 species
AGUGAACGCUGGCGGCGUGCCUAACACAUGCAAGUCGAACGAUGAUUGAGAGCUUGCUCUCAUGAUUAGUGGCGCACGGGUGAGUAUACCAUAGAUAAUGUACCUCUUAGUUCGGGAUAGCCACCGGAAACGGUGAUUAACACCGGAUACUCCUUCUUGUCUCAAGGCAAGUCGGGAAAGUUUUUUCGCUAAGAGAUCAGUCUAUGUCCUAUCAGCUAGUUGGUGAGGUAAUGGCUCACCAAGGCAAUGACGGGUAUCUGGUUUGAGAGGAUGAUCAGACACACUGGAACUGCGGCACGGUCCAGACUCCUACGGGAGGCAGCAGUGAGGAAUAUUGCACAAUGGAGGAAACUCUGAUGCAGCAACGCCGCGUGGAGGAUGACGCAUUUCGGUGUGUAAACUCCUUUUAAGAGGGAAGAUAAUGACGGUACCUCUUGAAUAAGCACCGGCUAACUCCGUGCCAGCCGCCGCCGUAA